rnacentral:rRNA from 1 species
GAUUGAACGCUGGCGGCAGGCCUAACACAUGCAAGUCGAGCGGAUGAAGGGAGCUUGCUCCUGGAUUCAGCGGCGGACGGGUGAGUAAUGCCUAGGAAUCUGCCUGGUAGUGGGGGAUAACGUCCGGAAACGGGCGCUAAUACCGCAUACGUCCUGAGGGAGAAAGUGGGGGAUCUUCGGACCUCACGCUAUCAGAUGAGCCUAGGUCGGAUUAGCUAGUUGGUGGGGUAAAGGCCCACCAAGGCGACGAUCCGUAACUGGUCUGAGAGGAUGAUCAGUCACACUGGAACUGAGACACGGUCCAGACUCCUACGGGAGGCAGCAGUGGGGAAUAUUGGACAAUGGGCGAAAGCCUGAUCCAGCCAUGCCACGUGUGUGAAGAAGGUCUUCGGAUUGUAAAGCACUUUAAGUUGGGAGGAAGGGCAGUAAGUUAAUACCUUGCUGUUUUGACGUUACCAACAGAAUAAGCACCGGCUAACUUCGUG